CCUACGGGCGGCUGCAGUGAGGAAUAUUGGUCAAUGGCCGGAAGCCUGAACCAGCCAAGUCGCGUGAAGGACGAAGGUGCUUAGCAUUGUAAACUUCUUUUGUCAGGGGACAAAAUCAGACACGCGUCUCUGGCUGAGGGUACCCGAAGAAAAAGCAUCGGCUAACUCCGUGCCAGCAGCCGCGGUAAUACGGAGGAUGCGAGCGUUAUCCGGAUUUAUUGGGUUUAAAGGGUGCGCAGGCGGGCGAUCAAGUCAGCGGUAAAAGGUCGGGGCUCAACCCCGGCGGGCCGUUGAAACUGGCUGUCGUGAGAUGGAGAGAGGUAUGCGGAAUGCGUAGUGUAGCGGUGAAAUGCAUAGAUAUUGCGAAGAACUCCGAUUGCGAAGGCAGCAUACCGGCGGCAAACUGACGCUGAGGCACGAAAGCGUGGGGAUCGAACAGGAUUAGAUACCCUUGUAGUC
rnacentral:rRNA from 1 species